rnacentral:rRNA from 1 species
GAUGAACGCUGGCGGCGUGCCUAAUACAUGCAAGUCGAGCGAACGGACGAGAAGCUUGCUUCUCUGAUGUUAGCGGCGGACGGGUGAGUAACACGUGGAUAACCUACCUAUAAGACUGGGAUAACUUCGGGAAGCCGGAGCUAAUACCGGAUGAUAUUUUGAACCGCAUGGUUCAAAAGUGAAAGACGGUCUUGCUGUCACUUAUAGAUGGAUCCGCGCUGCAUUAGCUAGUUGGUAAGGUAACGGCUUACCAAGGCAACGAUGCAUAGCCGACCUGAGAGGGGGGUCGCCCACAUUGGAACUUAGCCACGGUCCAGCCUCCUACGGGACGCAGCAGUAGGGAAUCUUCCGCAAUGGGCGAAAGCCUGACGGAGCAACGCCGCGUGAGUGAUGAAGGUCUUCGGAUCGUAAAACUCUGUUAUUAGGGAAGAACAUAUGUGUAAGUAACUGUGCACAUCUUGACGGUACCUAAUCAGAAAGCCACGGCUAACUACGUG